rnacentral:misc_RNA from 1 species
GAGAUGCGAUAAGUAAUGUGAAUUGCAGAAUUCAGUGAAUCAUCGAAGCUUUGAACGCACAUUGCGCCCGCCAGCACUCUGGCGGGCAUGCCUGUUCGAGCGUCAUUUCAACCCUCAGAACCCCUUGCGGGAUCUGGCGUUGGGGAUUGGCAUCCAGCCAGCCCCGAAAUCUAGUGGCGGUCCCUCCGCGACCUCCCCUGUGCAGUAGCGAUACCUCGCAGCGGGACAGCGGUCUGACCACGCCGUAAAACCCCCAACUUCUCAAGGUUGACCUCGAAUCAGGUAGGAAUACCCGCUGAACUUAAGC